GGAUUAGUGCGCCGGUCGUGCCUUCGGUAUGUACUGGUGUUACUGGUUCCUACCUUCUGACGAACCGUCAUGUCAUUAAUUUGGUGUGGCGGGGAAUCAGGACUGUUACUUUGAAAAAAUUAGAGUGUUCAAAACAAGCUUAUGCUUGAAUACAUUAGCAUGGAAUAAUAGAAUAGGACU
rnacentral:rRNA from 1 species